rnacentral:rRNA from 1 species
UACAGAGGGUGCAAGCGUUAAUCGGAAUUACUGGGCGUAAAGCGCACGUAGGCGGUUUUGCAAGUCGGAUGUGAAAGCCCCGGGCUCAACCUGGGAAUUGCGUUUGAAACUGGGAAACUAGAGUGUGUGAGAGGGGGGUAGAAUUCCAAGUGUAGCGGUGAAAUGCGUAGAGAUUGGGAGGAAUACCAGUGGCGAAGGCGGCCACCUGGCACAACACUGACGCUCAGGUGCGAAAGCGUGGGGAGCAAACAGG